rnacentral:rRNA from 1 species
AUUGAACGCUGGCGGCAUGCCUUACACAUGCAAGUCGAACGGCAGCACGGGGCAACCUGGUGGCGAGUGGCGAACGGGUGAGUAAUGCAUCGGAACGUACCUUUCAGUGGGGGAUAACGUAGCGAAAGUUACGCUAAUACCGCAUAUUCUGUGAGCAGGAAAGCAGGGGAUCGCAAGACCUUGCGCUGAUUGAGCGGCCGAUGUCAGAUUAGCUAGUUGGUGAGGUAAAGGCUCACCAAGGCGACGAUCUGUAGCGGGUCUGAGAGGCUGAUCCGCCGCACUGGAACUGAGACACGGUCCAGACUCCUACGGGAGGCAGCAGUGGGGAAUUUUGGACAAUGGGGGCAACCCUGAUCCAGCCAUGCCGCGUGAGUGAAGAAGGCCUUCGGGUUGUAAAGCUCUUUCGGCCGGGAAGAAAUCGCACGGGCUAAUACCCUGUGUGGAUGACGGUACCGGAAUAAGAAGCACCGGCUAACUACGUGCCAGCCGCCGCCGUAAUAC